rnacentral:rRNA from 1 species
GUAGGUGGCAAGCGUUGUCCGGAAUUAUUGGGGCGUAAAGUGCGCGCAGGUGGUUCGUUUAAGUCUGAUGUGAAAGACCCCCCCGGGCUCAACCGGGGGAGGGUCAUUGGAAACUGGGGAACUUGAGUGCAGGAGAGGAAAGUGGAAUUCCACGUGUAGCGGUGAAAUGCGUAGAUAUGUGGAGGAACACCAGUGGCGAAGGCGACUUUCUGGCCUGUAACUGACACUGAGGCGCGAAAGCGUGGGGAGCAAACAGGAUUAGAUACCCUGGUAGUCCACGCCGUAAACGAUGAGUGCUAAGUGUUGGGGGGCUUCCGCCCCUCAGUGCUGCAGCUAACGCAUUAAGCACUCCGCCUGGGGAGUACGGUCGCAAAGACUG